GUACGGGAUUUCAUUCUUCGGAAUGAAUGAGAGUGGCGCACGGGUGCGUAACGCGUAUGCAACCUACCUGUUACAGGGAGAUAGCCCGGGGAAACUCGGAUUAAUAUCCCAUAGUAUUGUUUUACUGCAUGGUAGAAUGAUUAAAGCCUUCGGGUGGUAACAGACGGGCAUGCGUAGGAUUAGCUAGUUGGUGAGGUAACGGCUCACCAAGGCGACGAUCCUUAGGGGUUCUGAGAGGAAGGUCCCCCACACUGGCACUGAGAUACGGGCCAGACUCCUACGGGAGGCAGCAGUAGGGAAUAUUGGUCAAUGGGCGAGAGCCUGAACCAGCCAUGCCGCGUGCAGGAAGACGGCGUUCUGCGUUGUAAACUGCUUUUAUCUGGGAAGAAAAAGCCCUUGCGAGGGAAAUUGCCGGUACCAGAGGAAUAAGCACCGGCUAAYUCCGUGCCAGCAGCCGCGSUAAUACGGAGGGUGCAAGCGUUGUCCGGAUUUAUUGGGUUUAAAGGGUGCGURGGCGGCCGAUUAAGUCWGUGGUGAAAGUUUCCGGCUCAACCGGGAGACUGCCAUUGAUACUGGUUGGCUUGAGUUAUGGAGGGGUACAUGGAAUUUAUGGUGUAGCGGUGAAAUGCAUAGAUACCAURRGGAACACCGAUAGCGAAGSCAUUGUACUGSCCAUAAACUGACGCUGAGGCACGAAAGCGUGGGUAGCGAACAGGAUUAGAUACCCUGGUAGYCACGCCGUAACGAUGAUCACUCGCUUUAAAGUACGUAGUASUGUGAGGCCAAGCGAAAGCGUUAAGUGAUCCACCUGGGGG
rnacentral:rRNA from 1 species